rnacentral:rRNA from 1 species
GACGAACGCUGGCGGCGUGCUUAACACAUGCAAGUCGAACGGAAAGGCCCUGCUUUUGUGGGGUGCUCGAGUGGCGAACGGGUGAGUAACACGUGAGUAACCUGCCCUUGACUUUGGGAUAACUUCAGGAAACUGGGGCUAAUACCGGAUAGGAGCUCCUGCUGCAUGGUGGGGGUUGGAAAGUUUCGGCGGUUGGGGAUGGACUCGCGGCUUAUCAGCUUGUUGGUGGGGUAGUGGCUUACCAAGGCUUUGACGGGUAGGCGGCCUGAGAGGGUGACCGGCCACAUUAGGACUGAGAUACGGACCAGACUCCUACGGGAGGCAGCAGUGGAGAGUAUUGCGCAGUGGGCGGAAGCCUGAUACGACAGCGCCGGGUGCGGGAUGACGGGCUUCGGGUUGUAAACCGCUUUCGCAUGUAACGAGGCGUGAGUGACGGUAAUGGGUAAAGAAGCACCGGCUAACUACGUG